AGUGAACGCUGGCGGUAGGCCUAACACAUGCAAGUCGAACGGCAGCACAGUAAGAGCUUGCUCUUACGGGUGGCGAGUGGCGGACGGGUGAGGAAUACAUCGGAAUCUACUUUUUCGUGGGGGAUAACGUAGGAAAACUUACGCUAAUACCGAAUACGACCUACGGGUGAAAGCAGGGGUUCUUGGGACCUUGCGCGAUUGAUUGAGCCGAUGUCGGAUUAGCUAGUUGGCGGGGUAAAGGCCCACCAAGGCGACGAUCCGUAGCUGGUCUGAGAGGAUGAUCAGCCACACUGGAACUGAGACACGGUCCAGACUCCUACGGGAGGCAGCAGUGGGGAAUAUUGGACAAUGGGCGCAAGCCUGAUCCAGCCAUACCGCGUGGGUGAAGAAGGCCUUCGGGUUGUAAAGCCCUUUUGUUGGGAAAGAAAAGCAGCAGGUUAAUACCCCGCUGUUCUGACGGUACCCAAAGAAUAAGCACCGGCUAACUUCGUG
rnacentral:rRNA from 1 species